rnacentral:tRNA from 1 species
AGCUUUAUAUUCAAAAAUGAUUUAAAAGUGCAAAUUUUAAGGGGUAAUAUAAAAAUUAC